rnacentral:rRNA from 1 species
GACGAACGCUGGCGGCGCGCCUAACACGUGCAAGUCGAGCGAGAACCGGGGCUUCGGCCCCGGGGACAGCGGCGAACGGGUGAGUAACACGUGGAUAACCUGCCCUCGGCACCGGAAUAGCCCGGGGAAACUCGGAUUAAUGCCGGAUAGCCCCACAUCCCUGCGGGGAACGUGGGAAAAGGUAGCUUCGGCCUCUGGCCGGGGAUGGGUCCGCGGUGGAUUAGCUUGUUGGCGGGGUAACGGCCCACCAAGGCGACGAUCCAUAGCUGGUCUGAGAGGACGAUCAGCCACACUGGGACUGAGACACGGCCCAGACUCCUACGGGAGGCAGCAGUGGGGAAUCUUGCGCAAUGGGCGAAAGCCUGACGCAGCGACGCCGCGUGCGGGAAGAAGGCCUUAGGGUUGUAAACCGCUUUCAGGAGAGACGAAGCCACUCGGGUUAAUAGCCCAGAGGGUGACGGUACCUCCAGAAGAAGCCCCGGCUAACUACGUGCCAGCAGCCGCAGUAAGAC